rnacentral:rRNA from 1 species
GACGAACGCUGGCGGCGUGCUUAACACAUGCAAGUCGAACGGAAAGGCCCUGCUUGUGUGGGGUGCUCGAGUGGCGAACGGGUGAGUAACACGUGAGUAACCUGCCCUUGACUUUGGGAUAACUUCAGGAAACUGGGGCUAAUACCGGAUAGGAGCUCCUGCUGCAUGGUGGGGGUUGGAAAGUUUCGGCGGUUGGGGAUGGACUCGCGGCUUAUCAGCUUGUUGGUGGGGUAGUGGCUUACCAAGGCUUUGACGGGUAGCCGGCCUGAGAGGGUGACCGGCCACCUUGGGACUGAGAUACGGACCAGACUCCUACGGGAGGCAGCAGUGGGGAAUAUUGCACAAUGGGCGGAAGCCUGAUGCAGCAACGCCGCGUGCGGGAUGACGGCCUUCGGGUUGUAAACCGCUUUCGCCUGUGACGAAGCGUGAGUGACGGUAAUGGGUAAAGAAGCACCGGCUAACUACGUG